GAUGAACGCUGGCGGCGUGCCUAAUACAUGCAAGUCGAGCGAACAGACGAGGAGCUUGCUCCUCUGACGUUAGCGGCGGACGGGUGAGUAACACGUGGAUAACCUACCUAUAAGACUGGGAUAACUUCGGGAAACCGGAGCUAAUACCGGAUAAUAUAUUGAACCGCAUGGUUCAAUAGUGAAAGACGGUUUUGCUGUCACUUAUAGAUGGAUCCGCGCCGCAUUAGCUAGUUGGUAAGGUAACGGCUUACCAAGGCAACGAUGCCUAGCCGACCUGAGAGGGUGCUCGGCCACACUGGAACUGAGACACGGUCCAGACUCCUACGGGAGGCAGCAGUAGGGAAGCUUCCGCAAUGGGCGAAAGCCUGACGGAGCAACGCCGCGUGAGUGAUGAAGGUCUUCGGAUCGUAAAACUCUGUUAUUAGGGAAGAACAAAUGUGUAAGUAACUAUGCCCGUCUUGACGGUACCUAAUCAGAAAGCCACGGCUAACUACGUG
rnacentral:rRNA from 1 species